ACGUGACAGGGCACCUCACAGGUAGAUAGUGGUAUAUUGGCUAACUCUUAGGUUCGUCCAUCACAGAAUUUUGGAAAUUUCGCAGGCAUGCAGAGACAACGAGGAUUUGUCUGGGCAGCAAUCAUACUAUGCAUAAUCGCUUUGCUGUUCCAGUUUCUGGCAGUAUGUCUCCCCCAUUGGGAACGAUACAAGAUGCCAAUGACGAAAGGAAGCAUUCUACGGGGACUGUUUUCAACGUGUGAAAUUAUGGAAGACGACGAUGAUGAUGGCGGCGCAAUUUGUCUGAUGCACAAGACAAUCCCAGCAUGGCUGGACGUAGUGAGGACAUUCGAGAUGUUCGGGUUGGUCUUGCUGUUUAUUGUGGCUAUCCUGCUCACGCUAUAUCUUCUCCUUCUACAAUGGAAAGUCGUACUUCAUAUGAUCUUCAUCGUCACCCUCUUCGUCAUCGUGUUCUUCCUGCUGAUUGGCAUAUCCGUAUACGGCCACAACGCGCACGGAAAACAUCUUCACGUCGCCUAUGCCUUUGCCGUGAUCGCCACUAUUUUAACCAUAGUCCCGCCAAUUCUGCUGAUAGUGGUAUGUUGUUUUAGAAGAAAGGGAAAUGUAUGGAUAGAUCAGGAACCUGAGACAUAUGAUCAGGAGUUUCUUGCUACAGAAAUGCCCUCUAGCUCUUCCAGGAGAUCGUCCAAAGUCGGGCCUAUCACUGACACACAGGAGCAAAGGACAGCGUCCAGGGCAUCACAAGCAAUCUACGACCAGACAAAGGAACCACUGCCAUAAAGGGGUACCACAAGGAAAUAAGGAAACCAUGGGGUGUAACGAUGACUUGUAAUCAGGAGGUGUAAACAUGACGUACGUGUUACAAUGAGGUGUAGUCAUGAGGUGUAACUAUGACGUGUAAUAAUGAGAUGUAACUAUGGCGUGUAACCAUGACGUGUAACCACGAGGUGUAACCAUGACGUGUAGCCAUGACGUGUAACCAUGAUGUGUAACCAUGACGUGUAACCAUGACGUGUAACCAUGAUGUGUAACGACGAGGUAUAACAAUGACGUGUAACCAUGAUGUGUAACCAUGACGUGUAACAAUGACGUGUAACCAUGAUGUGUAACGACGAGGUAUAACAAUGACGUGUAACCAUGAUGUGUAACCAUGACGUAUAACCACGAGGUGUAACCAUGACGUGUUACCAUGACGUGUAACAAUGACGUGUAACAAUGACGUGUAACAAUGACGUGAACCACGAGGUAUAACAAUGACGUGUAACCAUGACGUAUAUCCAUGACGUAUAACCACGAGAUGUAACCAUGACGUGUAACCAUGACGUGUAACAAUGACGUGUAACAAUGACGUGUAACCACGACGUGUAACCACGAGAUGUAACCAUGACGUGUAACCAUGACGUGUAACCAUGACGUGUAACAAUGCCUUGUAACAAUGACGUGUAACCAUGACGUGUAGCAAUGACGUGUAACCAUGACCUGUAACCAUGACGUGUAACCAUGACGUGUAACAAUGACGUGUAACAAUGACGUGUAACCAUGACGUGUAACAAUGACGUGUAACCAUGACGUGUAACCACGAGAUGUAACCAUGACCUGUAACCAUGACGUGUAACCAUGACGUGUAACCAUGACGUAUAACAAUGACGUGUAAACAUGACGUGUAACAAUGACGUGUAACCACGACGUGUAACCACGAGAUGUAACCAUGACGUGUAACCAUGACGUGUAACCAUGACGUGUAACAAUGACGUGUAGCCAUGACGUGUAGCAAUGACGUGUAACCAUGACCUGUAACCAUGACGUGUAACCAUGACGUGUAACCAUGACGUGUAACAAUGACGUGUAACAAUGACGUGUAACCAUGACGUGUAACAAUGACGUGUAACCAUGACGUGUAACCACGAGAUGUAACCAUGACCUGUAACAAUGACGUGUAGCUAUGACGUGUAACCAUGACGUGUAACCAUGACGUGUAACCAUGACGUGUAACCUUGACGUGUAACAAUGACGUGUAAACAUGACGUGUAAUGACGUGUAACCACGAGGUGUAACCAUGACGCCACUAGAUAUGAUGAGGACGUCAAUUUUGCGGUUAUGUCAAGCACUACUUACAAGGGCGUGGUAUUGUUGCAAACAUGUUUUCAACUAAGAGGUAACCAAAGAGUAAAAAAAGAAUAAAAACCCCAAAAAAAACCCCAAAAAACCCCGGAAAAUGGAGGACCACUUUGUAUCUAGUAAAGACAAACUUUGUAAAUAAGGUAUAACAAGUAGACUUGAUGUUUUGUAUAGAUUGUCGUUCUAUAGUUGUUUUACAUCUGUGAUAUUGAUUAUGCUAUAUAUUUUUUCAUUAAAUAAAUCUUUUCACUUAAAA